rnacentral:rRNA from 1 species
AACGAACGCUGGCGGCAUGCCUAACACAUGCAAGUCGAACGAGACCUUCGGGUCUAGUGGCGCACGGGUGCGUAACGCGUGGGAACCUGCCCUUAGGUUCGGAAUAACUCCCCGAAAGGGGUGCUAAUACCGGAUAAUGUCUUCGGACCAAAGAUUUAUCGCCUUUGGAUGGGCCCGCGUUGGAUUAGCUAGUUGGUAGGGUAAAAGCCUACCAAGGCGACGAUCCAUAGCUGGUCUGAGAGGAUGAUCAGCCACACUGGGACUGAGACACGGCCCAGACGGGGUAGGGGGGCAGCGGGGGAGAGUAUGGCAAGAGGGGAUAGGGGCGGAGACGGCAGUGCGGGGGGAGGAAUGAGGGCAGGAGGGUGAUAGAUCUCUUGGUCCGGGGAGAAUAACGGCAGUGGGGAGGGAAUAAGCCCCCGCAAACCCGGGAGAAGCAGCGGAGAGCACGAAGGCAAGAGCAAUAGUUUGACC